rnacentral:lncRNA from 1 species
UUACGAAGGGCUCCGCCUAGGUUAGAAAUUAAUCAUGUUUUGUUGUGGUUCAUUCCUUCGCAUAGGAGACGGUGGCUAAUUCCAGAGACGUCGGCCUCUCGUUUAUAUCUGCACAGACAUCCCACUUUUAACACUUUUUUGUACGAAGGGCUCCGCCUAGGUUAGAAAUUAAUCGUUGCCGCGGCCACCUCGCUCCAUCCCCGCCGCCGCCGCCCCGGCCACCUCGUCGCCUAACCUAGGCAUCGUCGACCGCGCGAGGUCUGCCGGCACUGGCGCCGGGAAUGAAUUAGUUAUAAAAUCAAUAGAUAUUUGUAUAUUAGUUAGAAAAUCAAAUUAGUAGGAAUUAGUAGUAAUUAGUAGUAAUUUGCUAGAAAUUCCAAUAAAUAUGUAUAUAUUAGUAGAAAUUUGGUAGAAAUUCGUACAAAGUACUACUAAUUUGUUGAA